rnacentral:rRNA from 1 species
GGAUCAUUAAAGAGUUAUUACAACUCCCAAACCCAUGUGAACUUACCUUCUGUUGCCUCGGCAGGUCGUGGCUACCCUGUGAGGUCCUACCCUGUAGGACCCUACCCGGUGGUCUCGGUUAAGCCUGCCGGUGGCCCAAGAAACUCUGUUAAUUAUAUGUUAUUCUGAAUCUAUAACUAAAUAAGUUAAAACUUUCAACAACGGAUCUCUUGGUUCUGGCAUCGAUGAAGAACGCAGCGAAAUGCGAUAAGUAAUGUGAAUUGCAGAAUUCAGUGAAUCAUCGAAUCUUUGAACGCACAUUGCGCCCAUUAGUAUUCUAGUGGGCAUGCCUGUUCGAGCGUCAUUUCAACCCUUAAGCCCCUGUUGCUUAGCGUUGGGAGCCUACAGUUCGCUGUAGCUCCCCAAAGUUAGUGGCGGAGUCAGUUUAUGCUCUAGACGUAGUAAUUUUUUUCUCGUCUGUAGCCGGGCUGGUCUCCUCGCCGUAAAACCCCCCAAUUUUUAAAGG